UACGGAGGGUGCAAGCAUUGAUCGGAAUUACUGGGCGUAAAGGGCGCGUAGGCGGCUCGAUAAGUCGGAUGUGAAAUUCCGGGGCUCAACCCCGGAGCGGCAUUUGAAACUGUCGAACUAGAGUACAGUUAGGGUAAACGGAAUUCCACGUGUAGCGGUGAAAUGCGUAGAUAUGUGGAAGAACACCGGUGGUGAAGACGGUUUACUGGGCUGUAACUGACGCUGAGGCGCGAAAGCAUGGGGAGCAAACAGG
rnacentral:rRNA from 1 species